CUGGUGUGAUUCAUAAUUGCGGAAAGUUUUCUUUGUGGGGUAGGGGCGUCAUUCAAGGGAUAGACUUUCCCUUCAGGUUAUGGUCCCGUUUCUCUCAAGGAGAUGGUGAUAGCAAGGGGGGAGCGCAAGAGAUUCAACAAUGAUUUUGGCAACGAUGAAUUUGAACUUGAUGACGGACUAGAGAAGGAAGUAUGUCAGAGAUAUGCAUGUUAGCCCUUAAGCAUAUCAGAAUGCAAUCAUUCAGCACAUAAUUAGUCAGUUAUAUAUUCUACUCAUGCCCCCAACAAGGCAACAAUCGACCAGGUUACAUAUCUUCUAUACUAAAUGUAUAAUAGCUUUUGGACAUGAUGUUCCCGCAAUACUACAAUCUCUAGAUAUAGGGUUGAUGGAAAGAUUUGCUCGAAUCAGAUAAACAACAUGGAUUAAUGUUUACAUUGUUAUAUCUGGUGCUUAAUUUACUAUUAAGAAUAUAUAAUGAAGUCGUUUCUCCAUGUUGUUCCAACUGUCUUUACAAUUAUGAGGAUAUAGAAGAUUAACUCAAGUCAGGGACCAAGCGAUAUGUGAGAUUGACAAGGAAAAGAACACUUGAGGUAUUAUUCAUUUCACUACCUUAAGCAUUUUGUAUUUAGUAAGGUGUCACUUGAUAGUGUUUAUUUCGGUAAGGUGCUCAGUUUGCCUUUUAAAGUCAGUCCCCGUCAAUACUUUCUCCUUUUCGUUUUGGACCAUAUCAGCUUGAAGAGAUGUUUUUUUCAUGAUCACCACGAAUAGAAGUGUGCGGAAUGAAUUCAGUUCGCAACUAGCCAUAUCACACAUGUGUUUGCUUCAGGUUGUGCGUUUCAGUGCAUUGUAGGAAUAAUUUCAUUGAGAACUCACAACCGCAAGUUGAAGAACAUUUUGGAGCACAAGUAGGGGUAAGUUGUAGAGUAUGGAGGAGCAAUGCUGCGAGCUUGGAGAUUGCUCAUGGUUCUGAUUGUUUCCUAUUCAGAUUGAGGAACGUAUACUCGGCCCACCAUCAUUCCCAGUGAUUAGAUAGUUUGCAUUUAUAUGCAAAUUGUGCGUGAAUAAAUUUAUGUAUACCGAGGUAAAUAUGGGAUACUAAUUUUCAUUAUUGCACGUUUGCAAAUCCUCUUUGAGACCUUGUAUUUGAUAUCUCACCUUUGGCCUACAUGUGCAUGGUUGGAAUUGGUAUUUUUUGCGGAUGUGAAAAUGAUUAUUAUAGAACCGAGUUUCUUUUGUGUAUAAUAUUUGCCAAAGGCAAGAAAAUGAUUCAAAUCUUGCAC